rnacentral:rRNA from 1 species
CGGCAGACGGGUGAGUAACGCGUGGGAACAUACCUUUUGGUUCGGAACAACACAGGGAAACUUGUGCUAAUACCGGAUAAGCCCUUACGGGAAAGAUUUAUCGCCGAAAGAUUGGCCCGCGUCUGAUUAGCUAGUUGGUGAGGUAAUGGCUCACCAAGGCGACGAUCAGUAGCUGGUCUGAGAGGAUGAUCAGCCACAUUGGGACUGAGACACGGCCCAA